UACAGAGGUCUCAAGCGUUGUUCGGAUUUAUUGGGCGUAAAGCGUGCGUAGGCGGCGGGGUAAGUGAGGUGUGAAAUCCCGGAGCUUAACUCCGGAACUGCACUUUAUACUGCCUUGCUCGAGGGCUGGAGAGGAGACUGGAAUUUACGGUGUAGCAGUGAAAUGCGUAGAGAUCGGGAGGAACAUCAGUGGCGAAGGCGGCCAUCUGGACCGACAUUGACGCUGAGGAGCGAAAGCGUGGGGAGCAAACAGG
rnacentral:rRNA from 1 species